CAUGCAAGUCGAACGGUAACAUUUCUAGCUUGCUAGAAGAUGACGAGUGGCGGACGGGUGAGUAAUGCUUGGGAACUUGCCUUUGCGAGGGGGAUAACAGUUGGAAACGACUGCUAAUACCGCAUAAUGUCUUCGGACCAAACGGGGCUUCGGCUCCGGCGCAAAGAGAGGCCCAAGUGAGAUUAGCUAGUUGGUAAGGUAACGGCUUACCAAGGCGACGAUCUCUAGCUGUUCUGAGAGGAAGAUCAGCCACACUGGGACUGAGACACGGCCCAGACUCCUACGGGAGGCAGCAGUGGGGAAUAUUGCACAAUGGGGGAAACCCUGAUGCAGCCAUGCCGCGUGUGUGAAGAAGGCCUUCGGGUUGUAAAGCACUUUCAGUUGUGAGGAAAAGUUAGUAGUUAAUACCUGCUAGCCGUGACGUUAACAACAGAAGAAGCACCGGCUAACUCCGUGCCAGCAGCCGCGGUAAUACGGAGGGUGCGAGCGUUAAUCGGAAUUACUGGGCGUAAAGCGCACGCAGGCGGUUUGUUAAGCUAGAUGUGAAAGCCCCGGGCUCAACCUGGGAUGGUCAUUUAGAACUGGCAGACUAGAGUCUUGGAGAGGGGAGUGGAAUUCCAGGUGUAGCGGUGAAAUGCGUAGAUAUCUGGAGGAACAUCAGUGGCGAAGGCGACUCCCUGGCCAAAGACUGACGCUCAUGUGCGAAAGUGUGGGUAGCGAACAGGAUUAGAUACCCUGGUAGUCCACACCGUAAACGCUGUCUACUAGCUGUGUGUGUCUUUAAGACGUGCGUAGCGAAGCUAACGCGCUAAGUAGACCGCCUGGGGAGUACGGCCGCAAGGUUAAAACUCAAAUGAAUUGACGGGGGCCCGCACAAGCGGUGGAGCAUGUGGUUUAAUUCGAUGCAACGCGAAGAACCUUACCUACACUUGACAUGCUGAGAAGUUACUAGAGAUAGUUUCGUGCCUUCGGGAACUCAGACACAGGUGCUGCAUGGCUGUCGUCAGCUCGUGUC
rnacentral:rRNA from 1 species